CCUACGGGAGGCAGCAGUGAGGAAUAUUGGUCAAUGGACGAGAGUCUGAACCAGCCAAGUAGCGUGAAGGAUGACUGCCCUAUGGGUUGUAAACUUCUUUUAUAUGGGAAUAAAACGUUCCACGCGUGGGGUUUUGUAUGUACCAUAUGAAUAAGGAUCGGCUAACUCCGUGCCAGCAGCCGCGGUAAUACGGAGGAUGCGAGCGUUAUCCGGAUUUAUUGGGUUUAAAGGGAGCGUAGGUGGAGUGUUAAGUCAGUUGUGAAAGUUUGCGGCUCAACCGUAAAAGUGCAGUUGAAACUGGCAGUCUUGAGUAAAGUAGAGGUAGGCGGAAUUCGUGGUGUAGCGGUGAAAUGCUUAGAUAUCACGAAGAACUCCGAUUGCGAAGGCAGUUCACUGGACUGCAACUGACACUGAUGCACGAAAGUGUGGGUAUCAAACAGGAUUAGAUACCCGUGUAGUC
rnacentral:rRNA from 1 species